UUAUCUUCCCCACUGUCUUUCUCUCUCUAUUCCUCCGGUAUAGUCUACAAUACACAGAUUGUUUCCUCUUCUACCACCAUCUUCCUCCACUCAAGAAAUCUCCACUUGCUUUGAUUCACCGAUUUAUGAUCCAAUGAGAUUGGGUUUCUUUACUUUUUCACCCUUUUCUUACCGAUCUCCUUUUUUGUAUUUCUUCAACCUUUUGUUACCGACUCCUUUUUUCUCCAUCCACCGCCAUCGUUGUUUGAUGUUGCACCUUCUGUCUUCAAUCGGUUACCACCCUCAACUUCAUCUCUACCCAUUGUUUUUUACUUUAACACACCGGUCAUCUUCGUUUCCCUUUCCUGGCUUCCAAUCAAACGAUUAGGUCGAUGCUUACCAGUCACCGCUUCCACCCGUUACAUCCAUUAUCUGAUCAAAUACGUACACGAAUGUAGACCAGAUGGUAUCGUCUCCAUGUUUCUUCUCAUACGCUUUCGUGUCCGUUUACACCUAUUACAAACACGGAUUUUUGUUCUCUGCGUUUCGUUAUUUUCGUUUUCUGUUACCAUUGGUGGUGGCCGACCAAAGCCCUAAUAUCGAUUACAAUAGAAAAUCAGUUUUUUUUUUCUGUACGGGUCUGGUUGGAUGUGAGGAUGGAAAGAUGAGGUUCUUACCUUACAGGAACCCAACACUGAUGUUAUUGUAGGUGAAAUUGAUGAUUUUCGCUGGAGAAAUCUUUGAACCCUAAUUUCCCCUUUAUCAAAGGUAAUUGAUAAUCUCUAUAUUUUUGAUGUUUUGUGUGUACAAAAGGAAUGAAUCGGAUGCAACUCAGGAGGAAAAACAUAUAAUUAUUUGAUUAUAGUUCAUUUUGGCGAACCCUAUGGCAUUGUUUCGAUGCACCACCACCACUGCGGUUUGGCGAUUUUUUUUUGACAAACUUUCGCCCUCUCCGUUGUCGCCCCCUGUCGUUCUGCCAGUGUUUUAUAUGUUUUGUUAAAGGAUGGAGAACCUCAAUGUUUGGAUGCGACAAAGUAUGGAAAUGUUACAAGGUUUAUUAAUCACAGAUUGCUUUUUCACUAAAACAAAUGUCAAGAAGAAAGUACUGAAGAAUGAUUGCUGAGAAAAAUGGUCCUUUGGGAAGAAAUUAUUGGAGGUAUCAAAAGUUUUUUACUUUUUCAGGUGCUCAUUCAAAAAGGUUACAAUAGUGCAGCGACUGAUGUGUAAAUACAUAGAACAUGCUCUGAUGCAGCUAAGGUAUACUUGGAGUUUGAACAUCGAAAUAGUAAAGAUUGUAACUACGGUCCUCAGUAACGGGGUAUGAAUCAGGGUUUACCUUUGGGUUCCCCCAUCUUCCGAUGUGGGUGGGAAUUAACAUGAUCAAAGCUGACAAGUAAAGAAGCAGAUGCAUAUGAAAACGAACACACCAUUGAAACUAAUAAAGCAGAAAAAACAUGAUAGUUUGUUAUUGAUUUUUUUUUCCGAUUGACUUAUAGGAAAAGCUCUACAUGUUUAUUUAUUUAUUUAUUUAUAGAUCAGUUAAAGAGGGAAGGAAUGAGCAACUCAAACUAUAAACAUUUUGUUGCA